rnacentral:lncRNA from 1 species
CAAAAUGUUGGUAUUGGUCCCCACCUCAUAAUGUAAGUUUGUGGCCCGAUGGAACGGGCCAUACGAAGUCCUUGAGAAGGUGGGUGAAGUUAACUAUAGGGUCAGACAGCCGGGACGUAGGCAUCUGACCCAGAUUUACCAUGUGAAUUUGUUAAAGAAAUGGAAUGCACGUGAUGUACUCUACUCUAUUUCCCCAAAGAAGGGAACCACAGAGACCAAGCCAGCGGAGGUGCCACUGGGGAACCAGGAUGUGUUCUCCAGUGAACCAGGACACCAAUCUGGUACAGCACAGUAUCAUCACCGAACCCGGGAAAAAGGUGUGGUUGAGACCAUACCGCAUACCGGAAGCAAGGAGGGAGGCCAUCAGGACCGAGGUGCCCUUAGCUCCCGAGGUGCGGGAGAAAACUGCUUUCGCCACCCCUGAUGGGCUGUUCCACUACAAGAAGCUGCCUUUUGGGUUGCACCAGGCCCCGGCCACCUUCCAGAGGUUGAUGGACCAGAUUCUCCAUCCCCAUCCCCCCUGAUAGAUCUGACCAGGAGCCGUCUGCUCACCCAGGUGACGUGGACCGAGAAGACGGAGAAAGCCUUCCAAGACCUAAAGAGGGCACUGUGUUCUGGACCCGUGCUGGUGACACCGGACUUCUCGAAACCACUGGUGGUACAGACCGAUGCGUCCAAAACAGGGGUAGGUGCCGUCCUAUCACAGCUACAAGAAGGUGAGGAACAACCAGUCGUGCACAUUAGCUGGAAGCUGUUGCCGCAGUAACAAAGAUAUUCCACCGUGGAGAAAGAAUAUCUAGCAAUUAAGUGGGCGCUGGAGACGCUGAAAUAUUACUUAUUGGGACGGCACUUCACCCUCGUAACGGACCAUGCACCACUGGUUUGGAUGUGACGGAAUAAGGACAGUAACGCCCGGGUCGGCAGGGAGAAGUGAGGGGAGUGGUGAUUGAAGGGAGAUAUCUUGCAGCCAGCUGGCUCCACCUCUGAGCCUUAUAUGGACUUCCUGUCCCAACGAGGCAAGCCUGUGGAUCAUUAAGCCAUGGAGUGCUUGGGGAUGAAAGAGGAAGCGGGCUGCACAAACAGGGAGAGGACUGAGAGGGAAACCUGUGUUAUGGAGAGUGUGAGAAGAGAGAGAAUUAGUUGUGUGAUUACCCAUUGUGACCUGGACUGUCUGAUUACCCCCACUGUGUACCGAACCAGUUUGGCUGAGGACCCGAGUUUUAGGAUUACUCCUGGAGAAUGGAACGGACAAUGAGAACGGAGUGUGGACUGUGAAGUGGUUGCAGAAUUCCCC